rnacentral:sRNA from 1 species
AGUCAUUGGGGAGUAGCCGUACUCGAAACCGAGUAGCCUGCGUCAACACACUUGACUUUAACGUCAUGGCGCAAGCGGUAUUUGUGGAUUCUUCACGACUUGGCAAGACCUUUGACCAGAUCGCCACCGACGCGGCCGGGGGUGCGAUUUGGUCAUUGUUCGUCCCUGGCCAAGG